rnacentral:rRNA from 1 species
GACGUAGGGGGCCAGCGUUGUUCGGAAUUACUGGGUGUAAAGGGUUCGUAGGCGGUGUGGCAAGUCGGGAGUGAAAUCUCUGGGCUCAACCCAGAGACUGCUUCCGAAACUGCUGUGCUUGAGUGUGAGAGAGGCUCGUGGAAUUGCAGGUGUAGCGGUGAAAUGCGUAGAUAUCUGCAGGAACACCCGUGGCGAAAGCGGCGAGCUGGAUCACUACUGACGCUGAGGAACGAAAGCUAGGGGAGCAAACGGG